rnacentral:rRNA from 1 species
GACGAACGCUGGCGGCGUGCUUAACACAUGCAAGUCGAACGGAAAGGCCCUGCUUGCAGGGUACUCGAGUGGCGAACGGGUGAGUAACACGUGGGUGAUCUGCCCUUCACUUCGGGAUAAGCCUGGGAAACUGGGUCUAAUACCGGAUAGGAGCCAUUUUUAGUGUGAUGGUUGGAAAGUUUUUUCGGUAUAGGAUGAGCUCGCGGCCUAUCAGCUUGUUGGUGGGAUAAUGGCCUACCAAGGCGGCGACGGGUAGCCGGCCUGAGAGGGUGGACGGCCACAUUGGGAAUGAGAUACGGCCCAGACUCCUUCGGGAGGCAGCAGUGGGGAAUAUUGCACAAUGGGCGCAAGCCUGAUGCAGCGACGCCGCGUGGGGGAUGACGGCCUUCGGGUUGUAAACUCCUUUCGCUAGGGACGAAGCUUUUUGUGACGAUACCUAGAUAAGAAGCACCGGCUAACUACGU